UAGCUCAGUGGUAGAGCGCUUGUCUAGAAUGCAUGAGGUCCUGAGUUUGAUCCCCAG
rnacentral:tRNA from 1 species